rnacentral:rRNA from 1 species
CAGCCGCCGCGGUAAUACGUAGGUGGCAAGCGUUGUCCGGAAUCAUUGGGCGUAAAGCGCGCGCAGGCGGUCCUUUAAGUCUGAUGUGAAAUCUUGUGGCUCAACCGUAAGCGGUCAUUGGAAACUGGGGGACUUGAGUGCAGGAGAGGAAAGCGGAAUUCCAUGUGUAGCGGUGAAAUGCGUAGAGAUAUGGAGGAACACCAGUGGCGAAGGCGGCUUUCUGGCCUGUAACUGACGCUGAGGCGCGAAAGCGUGGGGAGCAAACAGGAUUAGAUACCCUGGUAGUCCACGCCGUAAACGAUGAGUGCUAAGUGUUGGAGGGUUUCCGCCCUUCAGUGCUGCAGCUAACGCAUUAAGCACUCCGCCUGGGGAGUACGGUCGCAAGACUGAAAUUUAAAGGAAUUGGCGGG